UCACGUUGGGAUUACAGGACAGGAAAACCAGCAGGCAGAGGACCAUCCAGAAGCUUCCCAGAUCUAAUCCAGAAAUGUCUGCAGCUUCCAACAUCUAGAGAAGCCUCCGUGAAAAAUUCUGCAGGCAACAAGGGUUAAAACCAAGUCGUUCACUUCAGACAGUACUGUCACAAGGCCAAGACAGUCAUCAGGGAUUGUCACUCAGAGUAACGCUGCUAUUUACUCUGCUUGUCCCAAUUAUCCAUCACUGUUUACAAGUAAAGAAAAUGACUGUGAUGUCGACUCUGACAACCUAGAAUGAGCUGGGAAGAAGGUUUUAAUGAGGAAUUAUUUAGAUUAGGUUGGCCUGGGGCUAUGAAGGAGUUUCGUAAUUGGGUGAAUUGAGUUGGGAAGACCAACUCAUGUAGAAAGCAGGAGGCACCAUUUAUGGGGUAGGUCCAGGAAUGAAUGGGUAGAGAGAGGGCUAAGCACUGUCUUACACGUAAUUAAUGUUUUAUCUGUUUCUGUUUAGGGACGUAAGGGGACAAGCUGCUGCUGUUGUAGUUGACCUGUGAACCCUUUCUUCCCUAGCUUGCAUUUGUCGGGUACAAUGAGGUUCAUGGUGUUUAAGAGAGAUGUUCUCAGGGAUAAAAUUACUUCGUUCCCCAGUUUCUCUAGAGAACCCUCACAUAAAAAGCAGGAACUGGUGGGUACCUGCUGAGCAGACACCCCAGACUCUUCCAGCGGCUCAGUGACUGCCUCACCGUUUGCACAUGUCCCGGCUCUCCACUUAUGCCCAGUUCUUCAUCCUUACCACCAGGAACUCUGUAGACAUUCCCAGAUCUGUUUCCUUGGCAUGAGUCAGCCUCCCAGAGACAGCCGGGGCCAGCCUGGUGACUGCAUAGGGCAGAAGGCUGCCCAGGAUUUGUGCCUUCACCAUGGCAAGGUGACAAGGAGAUUCCUGAGAAGGCACAUGGCACAUAUGUGUGUACAUGCAUCUGGAAGCCAAGACUCAAUGGGCUCCUUCAUUGCUCUCGUCUGAGUAUUUUUAAAACAAACUCUGUCACGGAACCAGUGUAAAACUGCCUUGUCCACAAGCCCCUGGAAUCCACGCGUCUCUGCUUCCCCAGCCCUAGAAUCACAGGAGAACACCACUGCAGCCAGCUGGUUAGAGGUAUAGACUGUUGCUAUCUAGAAUCAGAAGCUGUGGCAUACUGCAACUGUUUCCAUAGUUCCUGGAGGCUACUUUGUAUCCAUCUUGUUCAUCAAACCCUCAGCUCCUGCUUCACCGUAAGGAGCAAAGGAGAGAAUGGCUGAAAUCCUUUGAACUCUUCAAGAUCCUGUUCUCAAUGUCUACAAGGGUUCUACCAAGCCCCACCUCUUAAAGCUUCCACCAGAAGCUGAAGGCCAAGCCUUUGACACAAGGGCCUUUGGAGAAUGCUUCUCUAAGCCAAAGCAGUGACUUACUUCAACUCAGACCAUUUAUCAGUGACACAACCUAGGUUCACACUCACUUGACUCCAUUUAAAAGGACAAGUACUGACUCAAGGGAACUCUAGAGACCCUGAUGGGAAGAGGUGAGGGCCCUCUGGUCUCCAGGGCCCCUGGAAUGGAUUGAUAUUGGCUAGAUAUCCCUCGGGUUCAAAGUGAGAUACUGUUUCCAGGCAAGAAGCAGAGCCUUUUCUGGUAAUUAUAUAUUCUCUGGAGUGGUUUGGGGUUGACAAGCCUGGGCUUCUCCAUCACAGAGUAUCUUUCCCCAAAGAUAUUAUGGCCAUGUCUGAGGCUCCAUGGGAGUCUGUACUGAGCCUGGCUUGCACAAGACAGGUCAAUACAGAGUCAUAGCAUCAACCUAUCUUCCUUGCAUGGAGGACAACCAAAGGAAGUUAUUGCACAGCACUGAUGAAUGUACAUGGAUGAGAUCACAUGUACAGGAAGUGUCAUGAGAGGAGAUAUACAGUCCCAUCUAUGAUAUGCAAAGAACACAGAGGAGCAAUGACCCUCAGAGGGCGUGUGGAAAUACAGACUAAUCACUAAGCACAAGUGUCCAGAGCUGAUAAACUCACUUUAAACAUGAUCCAGGUUAGGACAUGGAGUUCCCACAAGUGGGAUUAAAGAGCAACCUUUACAAAGUUUGAAACUGUAUCUCCAAUUCCAAAAUAAUCCAUGCUAUUUACUUCAUUAUUGGUGUGUGUGUGUGUGUGUGUGUGUGUGUGUGCGUGUGCGUGUAUUAUAUAUGAGUGUGUGCUGUGGGCACACAUGCCCAUUGCAUACUCAGUGGAAUUCAAGACCCAGGAUCAGAUGCAAAGAAUUAGCAGGGACCAUUCAGCCAGCCCCAUAUUGAGAAGUCAACUCUCUACAGGGAAUGUCAGGUAGGUAAGUAGAAAGAUAAAUGCAAGAGAGAUGUAUGAAUU
rnacentral:lncRNA from 1 species